UGGUAUGGGUGAGUAGGGAAG
rnacentral:miRNA from 1 species